AAUGAACGUUGGCGGCGUGCUUAGCACAUGCAAGUCGAGCGAGAAAGCUCCUUCGGGAGUGAGUACAGCGGCGGACUGGUGCGUAACACGUAAGAAUCUGCCCAUUAGUGAAGAAUAACAUCGAGAAAUUGGUGCUAAUGCUGCAUACGUUCCUUCGGGAAGAAAGGUGGCUUUAUGCUGCCGCUAGUGGAUGAGCUUGCGCGCUAUUAGCUUGUUGGUGGGGUAAAGGCCUACCAAGGCAAUGAUGGCUAGCCGGCCUGAGAGGGUGUACGGCCACAUUGGGACUGAGAUACGGCCCAG
rnacentral:rRNA from 1 species